ensembl:lncRNA
CACCAUUCUGGACCUCUUGACAUUUAGAGAGAGUUGGGAUUUAGACAGACCGUAGAAGGAAUUGCAGUAUUCAGGAUGCAAAGUGAUUAAAAUGUGAACAAGGAUUUCAGCAGAAGCAAGGUCAAGGUAAAGAUGAACUCAAGGAGAAUUUCAGAGGUGGGAAUGAGAAGAGUGGGGAAGGUAGUUUGGUGUUAUGAAAAAUCAGUUUAUUGUUUUAUUGUCUUAAACAUGACACUGCUGUGAUAGAAAUAUAAAGGUCUUUAAUAUCUUUUAAUUUUGCUGUGAUAGAGCACAGAGAUGCUAAACACAGUGACACAGUGCUGUAGUUUUCUCUUUAUUAUAACUGGCUUUUACAAUUUUAAUUUACUUCUGUGCUCAGGAAUUCAAAGCUCCUCUUGAUGUCACAGAAGUCAGCACAACUCUCACUCCCAAUGUUUGAUACCAGGGGGAAAAAAAGACUUCCAAGGAAUAAUGUGGUGUUUCCAGCUUGUAUAGUCCCACCAAAACAAGCAGCUAUGCAAGAUUGCUUUCCAGCUUCAAACUGUGAUGUGUGGAGGAAAUAAAUUCCUGAUGUGUUGCUGGUUCAAAUCACUGGCCUCCAAGAGUCCUGUAGUUGGAAAUGCUGAAGACAGAAAUCUCUAAUGGGUCAUUUUGGACAGCCUCCUGCCAGGAUAUGAUUAAUCCCUCCGGAGCUAUGUUAGUGCUUGAUGAACAGCAAUGCUAUCUACAAGUGCACAAUGUUGUCCACAAACACAGAUGAGCAGAAAGAAGAUACUGGUGCCUGUGGUCAACAGAUACCUUCCUCUGUAGCCUCUGCUUUUAUUCUGUGUUGCCUUUAAUUUUAUUCCUCAUGUUGGAUGGACAGGAAAAAAAGGAUUAUUUUAGAUAGUCCAUAAGAGACCAAAGUCCUUAAUUUAUCAAUUGGUGUUGAUUUCAUUGUGUUUGCUUCUCAGACAUCUGCACGUUUCUGCUAAUGUGUUGUGGGAUUUUUUUUCUCUGAGUGUAUCUGUGGAUUUUGUAGGGUGGGAGAUCUUUGGUCACGUAUUAGUAGGCUUGGUGCAUCCCUCAAAAUAUGAGGGGUGAUUAUUUGAUCUCAUUUGAUCAACAGGUUGCUCCUGAUUCUUGAAAACUUAUGAGUUCUCACUCAUCUGAUUACACUACUGGCUGUUUUUCCAAUGAGAAGUUUCAAUAAGAUUGUUUCAGUCAGGGUGAAGUCUAUAAUCUUAAUUUUUGAGAGCAGUAGAGUGAUUUCUUGGAGUGAUGGUAAAUGUCUUUGUUACCUUCAAUAAGUGUUGGACCAGUUGGAGAAAUUUUUGAACCUACUGUUAAGAUAGUGCUAGACACCCCCCCCCCCCAGCUGGUAAAAUCCAGCUGGUAGGGUGAGACCCACAUGAGGGAAGGGGAUUGUCAGCACUAGUUUUUAGUGCUCACUUUAAAUGAAAUUUUUCAAGCAUUCAGUAUUGCCUUUCUCAAUCUGCAAGUACUUUAGAGUCCUUAAUGGUUUUUGUCUAUGCCCAUGGCAGUACUUAUGAAUCUUUUCAUCUAAUCUACUUGGUGAUGAAACUGUAUUCAGUUUCACCUCAAGAUUAGAUCUCUGCAAUGCACCUACAUCCAGUUACACCAUGAGACCAGAGCCAAACCUCAACUCUUGUGAUGGUGCGUUCCAUUAACAGCCAACAAUGUCCACACUCCGCUAUAUGAAAAGAAUUUAGUCUGUUUUUUGCAUUAAAUAGUUAUGAUCCUUGCUAUAGAACCCAUCUCCCUUUUUUUUUUUUUUUUUUUUUUUUUUUUUUUGAUUCUGUGUCAGUGAAGCUAAACUGAUGUGCCUUGAGGGAUCAGGAGGGUGUCAGGCUUGGAGCUGAUGGAUAUCUCCUUGGCUGGUGGAGAUAUGCAUCUCAGAGUCUCUGCAGAGCUGCAGGCUCUCAGGUGACACUGCAGAACUCAAGUUCACCCAAGUUUUUGGAAGGGAGGGGAGAUGCCACUAGGGUAUGAUGGCAGCAAGGCAUUGGUUUGUUUUCAGCUGUGAGGUUUUGAGAGUAUCUUUGCUCUGGUAACAAGUAGUGAUGACUAACUGUGAAUCUAGACAGGUAUGGUUUUAUAUUCCGAAAUAUUAAGGAAUAGGCAUGCUCUGCCCAAGCACAAAUCCUUCUCAAAAGGCAAUUUCUCCUUUCUACUUGUGUUACACCUAGUAUGCUUGGGGUUAUACUUUCAUGUAUCUAAUUAAAUUAUUCUUAAAGAACAUCAAAAUGUAUGUGAGAGAUUAUGUUUUCUGUUGCUAGCUAGCAAGGGUUUGUAGUUCCCCAAUUCCAGUUUCAAACAUAUUUAUUGUAGUGGGUGAUAUUUGAGUCAAAAUGAUCUAUUGUUUACAUCUUUUGUGUGCUCCUUUUGCUGCUUCCCUGAGCAAGGUAUGACAGUGCUACAUAUCCUCUGGAAGCUCACAGCUAAGGAAAAGUUGUUUCUCUAUAAAAAAAUACUUCUUCCUCUGUGGCAGUUAGAAGGAAUCAGAUUUUCUAUGUUUGGUUAAAGUGCCACACAUCUCACAUUUAAAAUAGCGGCCCUUUAUUUUAGGAAAAUAAAUCAAUUCAUGAUGUUCUACA